UUAGAGUGGUUCGUCGGGGUUGAUAUGUUCGGUCCAGAACAAAUAAAAAGUAAAAGGGGUGCCUAUAAAUAGAAAUAGAUAUAAAUAAAUGUAGUUUUGGCCCCCAAGUUUGAGCGUUUUAAAUAAUUGAUCCCCUAUUACAAAAUCAGUCAUUCUGGUCCCUGAAUUUUUAUAACCUUUAGAUUUUUGUGAUCCUCCUUCAAUUUUUCUUAUGUGUCAUCUUUCUUAAUGAAGUAGCAGUUUGGUUUUGAAUCCAUGUCAUCAAUUCAUAAUGUUUUAAAACCUAAAUGGAUAUUUUAAUUUAAAAAAAUAAAAAACACUUUUUAACUAAAUUGUAAAAAACUAAAAAAAAUAGAAAAUCAAUAUCUUCCUGAACCUUUUUAUCAUCUUCUUCACUC
rnacentral:lncRNA from 1 species